rnacentral:rRNA from 1 species
AUUGAACGCUGGCGGCAUGCCUAACACAUGCAAGUCGAACGGCAGCACAGCAUGUAGCAAUACAUGUGGGUGGCGAGUGGCGGACGGGUGAGUAACGCGUGGGAAUCUGCCCUAUAGUGGGGGACAACCCGACGAAAGUCGGGCUAAUACCGCAUACGCCUACGGGGAAAGGCUUCGGCCGCUAUUGGAUGAGCCCGCGUCGGAUUAGCUAGUUGGUGAGGUAAUGGCUCACCAAGGCGACGAUCCGUAGCUGGUCUGAGAGGACGAUCAGCCACACUGGGACUGAGACACGGCCCAGACUCCUACGGGAGGCAGCAGUGGGGAAUAUUGCACAAUGGGCGAAAGCCUGAUGCAGCAAUGCCGCGUGUGUGAAGAAGGCCUGCGGGUUGUAAAGCACUUUCGGUAGGGAAGAUUAUGACGGUACCUACAGAAGAAGCACCGGCUAACUCCGUGCCCAGCAGCCGCGGU